GAAGCAAGUGCUUUAUUCAGGCUAGACAUUUAUUUUAGGCUAGAAACAAAAUUCAACUGAAAUGUAGUUGCCUCAUCAAAACCUCAUCAAAACAUCAAAUUGAUUGCUAUAAAAAAUAGUUAUCCACGCCCAUAGAUUCUACGCCAUAGCAAUGACGUCAUAGCAACCCUUUAGUUCUACAGUAGUCUCGCCGCAGAAUGUCAGACGAAAAAACUUUUUUCUGCCAAAAACUGUAUGCCGCUGUCUAUGUUAGCAAAGAAACCGGCGCAGCGUAAAAGAGUUUUGAAAUAAGCGCUCGUGGAGGAGAAACAGAUCUUCGGAGAUUUCUCUCUUUCUGUUUCUUAUAAUCUGCCUGGCCGCGGCUCUCAGAGAGACAACCUUCGACCGGGUUAUUUUUUUGCGUCUCUCCGAUAGGUUCAGAAAGAAACCAAAAGAAGAAAAAAGCCUGAAACAUUCUGUUGACAGGUCACAGGCCAUACAACAAUUGACUAAAAGGAACAAGUGAAAUCCGGAAAUGAAGGCCAGAAAACGAACUGUUUAUUUUUGGUGGCAGUGCCGCUAGCUCAGUCUGCCUCAGGGCAGAGUACCCCUAUUGCCACAGCUCGAAACAUAAAAAAAAUUGACAAAUCCGCGGUCUCGCAUCACUGAAACUAUCGGACAUCUCUAAGAACAAAACGUAAACAAAGCGCUCCCUCCCUACGAAAGGUACCCUCUAUAUGCUGCUGGGCACCACCCAAACUUGGCCGGACGGCGCCCCUUCUCGCGACUACGGCGGCUCCAUCUUCCCCACUGGGACAAUUUACUCACACAUGGUGGAUUUUACAAACAUUUAAUAUUUGACAAAGACUUGGCCACCGUCUUCAGGACUUAAUCGGUCAAAGCCGAGGAUCUGUUUUGAUGAAAACGCAGGGAAGAACGGAGCUUCGCCUGUGGCCGAGUGCAUAGUGUUUCGGAUGGCCACCUCAAUCUCCGGCAGAUGUGCAUCCCAUUCUCGAUGAUCCUCGUCUAAGACGCUGCGAAUUGCGGCCAAGACGUUUCUUUUUACCCUCUUCGCAGCAUUGCUCUGUGGCACUCCAAACUUCUGAAAUACCUCGUUUACCGAGAUGUUUACUACGUUCGUUGCCGUCGGCUCCUUUGGACUCCUUACACACAUUGCAACUACAGACGUCUUCCCGCACCUGGAGUCAUCCCUGGCCAAUAGAAUAGAAGAAGGUCUUCAUCAUUCCACCAUUACCAGGCUUGGAGCCCGCUCUAUCAGGCAGUGCGCAAGGAUUUGCGGGAUCCUAAGCUUCUAUUCGAAUCCUUCCAAUUCCUCGUCCAUUUUCGAAUUGCUCAUGCGCUUGAAGAUUAUUCCGUCCUCCACUUUCUGGUCUGCAAAUUCAGUCAUCUUGAAUCCUAGUAACUCCGACGGAUCUAUUCGGAUCUCCUCAAUGAUGCAGGAUAGGGUGUCGGCGACAACGUUCUCGCUGCCUUUGCGAUGUUCAGUGCUGAAAUCGUAGCCCUGCAGCUGGAGAGACCACCUUGCGAAUCGCCCGGACAGAUCCUUCAUCGUCAUCAACCACUUAAGGCUGGAGUGAUCAAGUGAACGGCAUCCCAUUCACGUACGGUUUGAACUUCAGGAUGGCUAGAAGGUCGCCAGACACUCCUUUUCAGUGACCGAGUAAUUCACCUGGUGAUUGUUCAUCUUGGCUGAGAAGAACGCGAUGGUUGCUCGUCUCCAUCCUGGUUCCGCUGAAACAAUACCGCGCCAACGCCAACGUGAAAUGCGUCGCACUGGAUGUAUAAAUAUUUCUUGAAAUUCGCGUGAACCAGGACCGGAGCGCUCAUGAAGGUCAGCUACUACCUGUGGGACGCUGGGACUUAGGACGAACUUUGCGUUUAGCAAAGCUACGCUGGCUAGCGUAUGGAAAUUCUUGACAAACCGUCAAUACCAUCCCGCUGUACCCAUGAAGGCUCGUAAUUACUUCAUGGAUUUCGGGUAGGGCAUCUUCUGAAUCGCCGAAACUCGUCCAGGAUCCAUCCGAAGCAGUCUACCUCCGACUAUAAACCCAAGACUGUGGGCUACUCGACGCAAGUACUUCAGGUGCGUCUGAAAAUCUGGAGUGAGAAUUAGCAAGUCGUCCAAAUACACGAAAACGUUGGAUCUAAGCUCCGCUGUCAUCACCCGAUCCAUAAGCAGCACCAAGCGUUGUGCCGCGUUGCACAGCCCGAUUGGCAUCAUUCGAAACUGGUACAACGGUCUGAAUGGAACCGUGAAUGCAGUGUACUCUUGACGCCUCUCGCCACUGGCUUCCCUACAACGGUUGGAGCUAAUCAGAACGCCUGCCAGAAGUCGACUCCGAAGUACACACUUUGCUCCAAGCAGCUCCACGCGUCCGUUAAUGGAUCGGUCCUCACCAGAAGCCGUCCGGACUAUGGAAAAGUACAAUUGGACCGCAACUCCCAGCGUUUCCACCAGCUCUCGACAACCGUUGCCCUCACUCACUGUUUUCCAACCAAGCAUCGCGAAAUAAUUGUUUGUAAAUGACUUUCGGCAUUUUGGCACGUACGCUUUGAUUCAAUUUUAUUUCACAAUUAAUUAUUAGAGAUCACAUAACAUAAUGCGACAACAUAUCGCACCAUCCAAAAAAUCGAUCGAUCAGAAAGCACGAUCAUAUGAAUAAAGUUCACGUAACAAUCGGCAAAAAAGAUCCAGCAAAACAUAGAACACCAAAAAUAAAAUUUUUCG